rnacentral:lncRNA from 10 species
CCCAUGUCCUGUCUCAUGAUAGAGUUCUCAUGAGAUCUGGUUGUUUGAAAGCGUGUAGCACCUCCCACUUUGCUCUCCCUCUCUCUCCUGCAGCCAUGUGAAGACAUACUUGCUUCUCCUUCACCUUCUGCCGUGAUUAUAUGUUUCCUGAAACUUCCCCAACCAUCCCUCCUGUACAGCCUGUGGAACUGGUCUCACUCUGUUGCCCAGGCUGGAGUGCACUGGCUCAAUCAUCGCUCACUACAGCCUCCACCUCCCAGGUUCAAGGAAUCCUCCUGCCUCAGCCUCCUUAGUAGCUGGGACCAGAGGUGUGCACCAUCACACCCAACUUUUUUUUUUUUUUAAUACAGAGAUGGGGUCCCACCAUGUUUCCUAGGCUGGUCUCAAACUCUUGGACUCAAGAGAUCUGCUCAUCUCAACCUCCCAAACAGCUGGGAUUACAGGCAUGAGCCACUACAUCCACCCUAAACGUUUUUAAAAAUAUUUUUAUCACUAGGGAAUAAUUAAGGAAGACAAUAGCACAUUGUCUGUAAAAAAAAAAAAAAAUGUGACUGAGAAAAUGAGACCCAGACAAGAUGCCAUUUCAGUAUAAAGGCCAAGGCACAAUCCCAAACAUGAAAACACGACAAGGAAUGUAACACCCGUGAGUGCUUCUUGGGAGAAAAAAGCCUGCUUGUUUUAAAAUCUAACCUGUAAGGAGAAUGAAUCACAUGAAAAACUCAAGAAUGGAGAGAGCACUGUAGAAAGACUUAGAAUACUGAAUCCAUUUAAAUGUAGAAUUAUGGCAUUAAAGAGAGAAAACAGUGAAAUUGUGACUUCAAAAUAAAAUAUACAUGUUAUAAACUUGAACAAUAUCCUCAUCAUCACAACAUUUUCUUUCUUUCUUUUUUUUUGAGACAGAGUCUCCCUCUGUCACCCAGGCUGGAGUGCAGUGGCGCCAUCUUAGCUCAUUGCAAACCCUCCCUCUCAGGUUCAAGCGAUUCUCUGGCCUCAGCCUCCCAAGUAACUGGGAUUACAGGUGCUCGCCAUCACACCCGGCUAAUUUUUGUAUUUUUUUUAGUAGAGACUGGGUUUCACCAUGUUGGCCAGGCUGGUCUCUAACUCCUGACCUCUGGUGAUCCACCCACCUCGGCCUCCCAAAGUGCUGGGAUUACAGGUGUGAGCCACUGCGCCUGGCCCACAACAUUUUUUUAAUGAAAAAUAAGAGAUGAGUUUUCAUAUCUGGCCAUGUGGCAGCGACUGAUAUUCAAUGGGUACUCACCUGCUUUAAAGAACUGUAAAAGUGGGCAAAAUAGACAAUACAACUGUUUCCAGGAAUUAGACCCCAAGGGACACAGGGCUGAUCCUUGAGAGCCGGGAAACCCACAGGUGACCCCACAACCACCCCUGGGGGCACUCUCUGGACCCCAGUAAGGAGAUGAAGAGAUGUGGUCUCGCUGAGCUGGGAAGGAAGAGCUCAGAGAAGAUGGAGGCUGCUGAAGUCACUGGAAUUUGCGGGGGCAGGGAACUGGAGAGGAGAAGCUGCCCAGAAGAGGAGCCCAGGACUGUAGGUGGGGGUCUUCUGGGGGAGGGCUGGACAGGGUAAGACUCAGAAGGCCCAGCAAUGAGAAGCGCUGUGCAGCUGACAGCUGCCUGGAGACCCCAGGAGCCUGCUGGGGCUGAAGGAUGCUGGCCUUCCCAUGACGUGGAGUGGACGGGUCUUGCUAAACCCCCGGGGUGUCCAGCUCAACCCCAGCAAGGAGGAAACCUAAAGAGAAGAUAAGGGGUUAGUGUCCAAGACUGCCAUUGCCAGCUACGUGACCUUGGGAAAGUCCCUCAGUGCCUCCAUUUCCCUGUUGACAGACAGGGCAUGACUGUGCCGAGCACAUGGAAUUGUUGUGACAGCAAAUGAAAUCAUCUCUGCGAUGUGUGGGAGGCUGAGCUGAGUGCUGGGCAAGUGCUCACCGCACAUUCCUGGUCAUUGUUGUUGUUAUCGUGGCAGGAGGAUUUCAUUGAGUUUGGAGCCCUUCCCAGGGUAACAAAGCAAGGAGUCAUUUAAGAUUAAUGUUGCUCUUUUAUGAUCUAGAUAGGCCCUUGGGCAGAGCAAGAAGAAACCAAAGCUGCUUCUCACCAGCCAUGUGGGCUCACUGGCUAGGAGAGCUGAUUGGGCUCCUUUUUAAACUUGGAAAAUAAUUCCUCUUUAAAUAUGGUUUUGGACAAUAAAAAUGAAACAUAUGUACCUGUAAAAAAUGA